rnacentral:rRNA from 1 species
GACGUAGGGCGCGAGCGUUGUCCGGAUUUAUUGGGCGUAAAGAGCUCGUAGGCGGCUUGUCGCGUCGACUGUGAAAACCCGUGGCUCAACCAUGUGGUCUGCAGUCGAUACGGGCAGGCUAGAAUUCGGUAGGGGAGUCUGGAAUUCCUGGUGUAGCGGUGAAAUGCGCAGAUAUCAGGAGGAACACCGGUGGCGAAGGCGGGACUCUGGGCCGAUACUGACGCUGAGGAGCGAAAGCGUGGGGAGCGAACAGG